GGGUCAGUAGGUUGGUCGUGCCACCGGUACGUACUGGUCUCACUGAUUCCUCCUUCCUGAAGAACCGUAAUGCCAUUAAUGUGGUGUUGCGGGGAAGCAGGACUGUUACUUUGAAAAAAUUAGAGUGUUUAAAGCAAGCUAACGCUUGAAUACAUUAGCAUGGAAUAAUGAAAUAGGACGAUCGAUCCUAUUUUGUUGGUUUCUAGGAUUGACGUA
rnacentral:rRNA from 1 species